GAUGAACGCUGGCGGCGUGCCUAAUACAUGCAAGUCGAGCGAACGGACGAGAAGCUUGCUCUUCGGAUGUUAGCGGCGGACGGGUGAGUAACACGUGGAUAACCUACCUAUAAGACUGGGAUAACUUCGGGAAACCGGAGCUAAUACCGGAUAAUAUUUUGAACCGCAUGGUUGAAAAGUGAAAGACGGUCUUGCUGUCACUUAUAGAUGAAUCCGCGUUGCAUUAGCUAGUUGGUAAUGUAACGGCUUACCAAGGCAACGAUGCAUAGCCGACCUGGGAGCGUUGUAGUCCGCACGGGAGCCGGGACACGCUCCAGACGCCUGCGGGCGGCAGCAGAAGCGAAUCUUCCGCACUGGGCGCGCACCUGACCGAGUUGUGUCGCGUGAGUCAUAAAGGUCUUCGGAUCGCGACACUCUGUUUUUGGCGAAGAACAUAUGUGUAAGUACCUGUGCACAUCUUGACGGUACCUCAUCAGCAAGCCACGGCUAACUACGUG
rnacentral:rRNA from 1 species